GGCCCCGUAGCUCAGAGGAUAGAGCGACCGCCUCCUAAGCGGUAGGUCGAUGGUUCGACUCCAUCCGGGGCCGCCA
rnacentral:tRNA from 1 species